rnacentral:lncRNA from 1 species
AAGUACCAAAGAGGGAAUGCUCCCUCAGGCCCCCAAACCUGGAGCUUAGGAUUUCAGAGAGAAGGAUACUGUGUGGGGACUUGAGCUUCUGGAGAGGGUGGCGCCUCGCGUCAUAGUCAGAAGCCUAGUCUUGUUUUUUUUACAGAGGCUUAAUUUUCAGCAUUUGGGGUCAGGCUUUCCUCUUGGAGGCAAGUAGGGUGAUGAAAAAGAAUCCUUAGGCGUGGUUGUGGCCGUCUUGGUCACCUGUGUGCCACUUGCCAAUGCAAGGACUUGUCAUAGUUACACUGACUGUUGCCUCCUCCCGGCCCAGGUUCCUCUCCC